GGAAUAUUGCACAAUGGGGGAAACCCUGAUGCAGCAACGCCGCGUGAGUGAUGAAGGCCUUCGGGUUGUAAAGCUCUGUCUUCAGGGACGAUAAUGACGGUACCUGAGGAGGAAGCCACGGCUAACUACGUGCCAGCAGCCGCGGUAAUACGUAGGUGGCAAGCGUUGUCCGGAUUUACUGGGCGUAAAGGGAGCGUAGGCGGAUACUUAAGUGGGAUGUGAAAUACCUGGGCUUAACUUGGGUGCUGCAUUCCAAACUGGGUGUCUAGAGUGUUGGAGAGGAAAGUGGAAUUCCUAGUGUAGCGGUGAAAUGCGUAGAGAUUAGGAAGAACACCAGUGGCGAAGGCGACUUUCUGGACAAUAACUGACGCUGAGGCUCGAAAGCGUGGGGAGCA
rnacentral:rRNA from 1 species